UGUUUUAAUUAAAUUACAAAAGGUUUAACUGUCCAUGUUGUAAAGACUGUUGAUACAUGACUUUUAUUCACUGUACUACAGUAUUGGAUUUUUUUUUUUGGUGAUGCAUUGCUAAUUUUCAACUUCUCUCUUUAAAGUUUUCAUGCCAUGACCACUGGGGCGGAAACCAUUAUGACAUUGCCUUGGACAUCAAACUAAACCAUCUCAUUCUGGCUUUUGAGGUGGAUUCUAACCUCGAAAUCUCAGAAGGACAGGUCUAAGAUGGACGCAGCCUCCAUAGGAUGCAACCUUGCAUUUGAGAAACACCCAUAGAACGGUCAACUUACCCCAUACUCUAACCUGAAUGCAGGGAUCAUAAAACUUUAUCUUUUACCUUAAUUGUUAGAUGGGUGUUGAUACCAAACUUUUUUUCUCGUCUACCCAGGAGAAAGUCAUGGUGUUCUGCUGCUAAGGUUGUCAUAAAAAUUCUGGCUUGAUGUUUGGUCCACCUGUUAGCUGGCUCUGGUGCUUGGUAGUCUUCUCAAACCUCUGAAUCAAGACCACCAUGAGAGGCCUUCUGAAGACCAUCAUUACGCUUCAGAUCCAGUUGUCUUUACUUUGAGCCUACCACAAUCCCUGUGCACCAGCUAUGGAAAGUGCAGACCAAACUUCUACCUCCACCUAUAGAACUGAACUGGAGUCUAUUAACUAAUGCUGUGUUCGAGACAACUUGGAUGUUGGAUAUUAUUGACCUUAAACCCGUAAGAAGUCAGGAACAGGAAACAAAGUGGAGUAUCCGACCUCUCAACUUGGACCAGAUCGAUCAACACCGACCUCAACGAGAUGCGUCAUUUGACAUUGCAGACAAGAUCCUUUCUCUUUUUAAUGCAGCACUUAAGGAUGAACCACCCUGAUCUACUAAGAUGCACAGAUUCAACUCUGGCCCAGCAUCAUCCCCAUACCUCAUCUGCCAUCAGUUCAAUUUAAUGUCUGUCAAUUGCAAAUGGUAUUUAUUUCAGUUAUAUUACAACUUAAUAUUAAAGGAAUAGUCUACCCUUUGCCAUAUUAAACUAUGUUAUUACCUCAACCUAGAUGAAUUAAUACAUACCUAUCUUUUUUCAAUGCGUGCACCGUACAGCGCGUUGUGAAUGUGUUAGCAUUUAGCCUAGCCCCAUUCAUUCCUAUGGUACCAAAAAAGUUUUAUUUUGUGGCACCAUACUUACUGGUAUAACUCCUCAUGUAACAGUCUUAAAAUAGGGAAAACACGAAAGUGUUUGGUGGCUUCCCUGUUUGGUACCAUAGGAAUGAAUGGGGCUAGGCUAAAUGCUAACACAUUCACGACGCGCUGUACAGUGCACAAUAGAUAUGUAUUAAUUCGUCUAAGUUUAGGUAAUAACAUAGUUUAAUAUGGCAAAAGGGUAGACUAUUCCUUUAACUUUAAUUGAGACUAGUAUUGUGUAAAGCUGGGGUUUCCAAACUUCUCAUUUCAAAACCUAUUAGACAACUGUAAUCUAUUCUAGACCCACUAAAAUAUUUUUAAAUAUACAUUUUUUAAUGGGGUAAAACACAUUUGUUCUCUUUCAGUGGAGUCAUUUUAUUUUCAUAAUAUUUCAUAAUGUAAAGUAAAUAUAAGUUUAUUUGCAAUACCAAAUAUUUUAUGGUAUAUUCUUUCAAAACCAUUGUCAUUGUUAAUUAUUAAUUUGGCCAAACUGUUGUUGCAUCAUUACGGUGUGCAACACACCUUAACCUACUGUGUGACGGACAAGUAGGUCCUCCUGACACACAAUUUAAAAUCCCCUGGUGUACCGGAAGUUGUAUUGUAAUUAAAGU